rnacentral:rRNA from 1 species
AUUGAACGCUGGCGGCAGGCCUAACACAUGCAAGUCGAACGGUAACAGGGAUCAGCUUGCUGAUUCGCUGACGAGUGGCGGACGGGUGAGUAAUGUCUGGGAAACUGCCUGAUGGAGGGGGAUAACUACUGGAAACGGUAGCUAAUACCGCAUAACGUCGCAAGACCAAAGAGGGGGACCUUCGGGCCUCUUGCCAUCGGAUGUGCCCAGAUGGGAUUAGCGAGUAGGUGGGGUAACGGCUCACCUAGGCGACGAUCCCUAGCUGGUCUGAGAGGAUGACCAGCCACACUGGAACUGAGACACGGUCCAGACUCCUACGGGAGGCAGCAGUGGGGAAUAUUGCACAAUGGGCGCAAGCCUGAUGCAGCCAUGCCGCGUGUAUGAAGAAGGCCUUCGGGUUGUAAAGUACUUUCAGCGGGGAGGAAGGGAGUAAAGUUAAAACCUUUGCUCAUUGACGUUACCCGCAGAAGAAGCACCGGCUAACUCCGUG